rnacentral:rRNA from 1 species
GCCCUGCUUGCAGGGUACUCGAGUGGCGAACGGGUGAGUAACACGUGGGUGAUCUGCCCUGCACUUCGGGAUAAGCUUGGGAAACUGGGUCUAAUACCGGAUAGGAGCCAUCUUUAGUGUGGUGGUUGGAAAGUUUUUUCGGUGUAGGAUGAGCUCGCGGCCUAUCAGCUUGUUGGUGGGGUAAUGGCCUACCAAGGCGGCGACGGGUAGCCGGCCUGAGAGGGUGUACGGCCUCAUUGGGACUGAGAUACGGCCCAGACUCCUACGGGAGGCAGCAGUGGGGAAUAUUGCACAAUGGGCGCAAGCCUGAUGCAGCGACGCCGCGUGGGGGAUGAAGGCCUUCGGGUUGUAAACUCCUUUCGCUAGGGACGAAGCUUUGUUGUGACGGUACCUGGAUAAGAAGCACCGGCUAACUACGUGCCAGCAGCCGCGGUAAUACGUAGGGUGCGAGCGUUGUCCGGAAUUACUGGGCGUAAAGGGCUCGUAGGUGGUUUGUCGCGUCGUCUGUGAAAUUCUGGGGCUUAACUCCGGGCGUGCAGGCGAUACGGGCAUAACUUGAGUGCUGUAGGGGUAACUGGAAUUCCUGGUGUAGCGGUGAAAUGCGCAGAUAUCAGGAGGAACACCGAUGGCGAAGGCAGGUUACUGGGCAGUUACUGACGCUGAGGAGCGAAAGCAUGGUAGCGAACAGGAUUAG